UUGCAGUGUUAUAAGAUACAGUACACUGGACCCAGCAAUAGCUUGCUGCCUUCUUGUCUUGUCAAUCAUCCUCAGCCAAAUGCCAAGGUGGUGCUAAGUUUCCUAAGGCUUCUUGCCUGUUGCCUUUGACUUUCCCCAAGACUCUUCCUCUGCUAUAUUUAAUGUACCACUAGGCACUUUAGGGAGAAUGACUUUCCUGCCGUGGGCAGAUUUUAGAGCAUUAUCUUAUAUACAAGGAUGGUCCCCUUAACUCAUUUCAUGUUGGACUGCUAAAUAGGCUCAUCACAUGGUUCUCAGAUAUUUAUCUAUCAAGGCAUUUAAUAUGUAUCAGCAUUCUGUAGCACUGAGGAUGAAACAGUGACCCAGACAAACUACUCCCUGAAUUAAUUCAGGAAGCUUACAGUUGACAGAGGUAUAUACAGUAUCAUUUAAAGGUAAGUUAUAUAGGGCUCGGAGAUAGCACAGUGCUGGCUCACCAGAGUAUCACUCUUGAGGCCCCAGAUACCCUAGGCUUGAUCCCCAGUACCCCAUAAGCCAGGGCUGAACAGUGCUUUUGUCUCUCUUAUUAUUAAAAUAAAUAAAUCUUUUGGGGCCAGGCAGUGGUGCACUUGGCUGAGUGCACACAUUAUAAUACACAAGGACCCAGGUUCAAGCCCCUGGUCCCCACCUGCAGGGAGAAAGCUCUGUGAGUGGUGAAGCAGGGCUGCAGGUAUCUCUCUGUCUCUAUAUCAUCUCCUUCCCUUUCAAUUUCUGGCUAUCUCUAUCCAAUAAAUACAGAUAAUUAAAAAAAAUAAAUCUUAAAAAAAUACAGGUAUGUGCAAGGACCUGGGUUCAAACCCUCAGCCCCGCGCUCCCUGGUGGUCUAGUAGUCAAGAUUCGGUGCACUCAAACUCUCAGCCUCCCACCUGUAGGGGUGAAGCUUCACAAGUGAUUGAGUUAUUGAGCUCAAUCCAAGCUUUGAGCUGGAGAGGACUGAGUUAAUGCGAUUUAAAGGAGUAAAUAGGGAGUCCAGCAGUAGUGCAGUGAGUUAAGCGCACGUGGUGUGAAGCACAAGGACUGGUGUAAGGAUACUGGUUUGAGGUCCUGGCUCCCCACCUGCAGGGGAGUCACUUUGCAAGCAGUGAAGCAGGUCUGCAGGUGUCUAUCUUUCUUUCCCCCUCUCUGUCUUGCCUUCUUCUCUCCAUUUCUCUCUAUCCUAUCCAACAAGGAUGGCAUCAAGAACAGCAACAGUAACUACCACAAUAAAAAAAAAAAAAACAAGGGCAACAAAAGGGAAUAUAUAAAUA